rnacentral:lncRNA from 1 species
CUCUUCUUCUUCUUCUUCUUCUUCUUCUUCUUCUUCUUCGCUUUUCCUUCGGUUCUGGAGCGAUGGCCGGAAAUCCAUCUCGGGGGGCUCGGUCGGGAAAUCCGACCGAUGACUCUCGGUCGACUCCGGAAGUUGAGGUUUCCUCGCUUUCGGGGCCGAACGUUGAUCGGCUUCGGGAGCAGUAUCGCAUCCCGGAGCAGUUUCAACUCUCCGCCCCAGGGGUCGGCGGUCGGGUUAACAACCCUCC